rnacentral:rRNA from 1 species
GACGAACGCUGGCGGCGUGCCUAAUACAUGCAAGUCGAACGCUUCUUUUUCCACCGGAGCUUGCUCCACCGGAAAAAGAAGAGUGGCGAACGGGUGAGUAACACGUGGGUAACCUGCCCAUCAGAAGGGGAUAACACUUGGAAACAGGUGCUAAUACCGUAUAACAAUCAAAACCGCAUGGUUUUGAUUUGAAAGGCGCUUUCGGGUGUCGCUGAUGGAUGGACCCGCGGUGCAUUAGCUAGUUGGUGAGGUAACGGCUCACCAAGGCCACGAUGCAUAGCCGACCUGAGAGGGUGAUCGGCCACAUUGGGACUGAGACACGGCCCAAACUCCUACGGGAGGCAGCAGUAGGGAAUCUUCGGCAAUGGACGAAAGUCUGACCGAGCAACGCCGCGUGAGUGAAGAAGGUUUUCGGAUCGUAAAACUCUGUUGUUAGAGAAGAACAAGGAUGAGAGUAACUGUUCAUCCCUUGACGGUAUCUAACCAGAAAGCCACGGCUAACUACGUGCCAGCAGCCGCGGUAAUACGUAGGUGGCAAGCGUUGUCCGGAUUUAUUGGGCGUAAAGCGAGCGCAGGCGGUUUCUUAAGUCUGAUGUGAAAGCCCCCGGCUCAACCGGGGAGGGUCAUUGGAAACUGGGAGACUUGAGUGCAGAAGAGGAGAGUGGAAUUCCAUGUGUAGCGGUGAAAUGCGUAGAUAUAUGGAGGAACACCAGUGGCGAAGGCGGCUCUCUGGUCUGUAACUGACGCUGAGGCUCGAAAGCGUGGGGAGCAAACAGGAU